rnacentral:lncRNA from 10 species
CCUCCAGCCUGGGCAAAAAGAGCGAAACUCCGUCUCAAAAAAAAAAAAACAUGGCCGAAACCAGGAAGCUGCGCGAUGGCGCCACGGCCCCUCUUCUCCCGGCCUGUGUCCGGAAGGUUUCCCUCCGAGGCGCCCCGGCUCCCGCAAGCGGAGGAGAGGGCGGGACGUGCCGGGGCCGGAGCUCAGAGGCCCUGGGGCCGCUCUGCUCUCCCGCCAUCGCAAGGGCGGCGCUGACCUGAGGCCUCCCCGCAAAGGUCCCCGAGGCGGCGGCGGCGGCGGGCUGUGAGAACCGCAGAAGAACGCUGGGCGCGCAGCGACCCGUCCACCCCCGCGAGGAGAGACUUCCACAGAGGCAGCGUUUCCACAGCCCAAAGCCACGUUUCUAGGGUGAUGCAGCCCCAGUAAGUUCCUGGCGGGGAAGCUCACGGCUGUCAAAAGAACUCUUCGCUCCAGCCGGCGCACGAAGGGGAGGAGGGCAGGAGGCUGCCGCCCGCACAGGUCAUCUGAUCACGUCGCCCGCCCUAGUCUGCUUUUGUGAAUCUCCACUUUGUUCAACCCCCACCCGCCGUCUCUCCCUCCCUGCGCCUUCCCUCUAACCUUAAAGACCCAGCUACCUCUACGCAAAUGGUAGCUACCUCUGCGCAGGUGGAAGUUGAGUUCGGUUCACGCGGGACCCUCUUCCCUGUGGCAAGCUGCUGAAGGAGACCUGCUGUUACUGCUUUAGCUGCUGUUCUGCUUAAUCUCAGACAGCUGGAAGGUAGUAUUCCGCCCUCGCCCAGCCACCCGAGUAAAUGAGAAUGAUGACUGACUGAGACCCUGAUGGUGGUGGCUUAGGCUUAAUCUCAGACAGCUGGAAGGUAGUAUUCCGCCCUCACCCAGCCACCCGAGUAAAUGAGAAUGAUGACUGACUGAGACCCUGAUGGUGGUGGCUUAGGCAAGAUGAACGUCUGAAAUGGAGGCCCAGGGCUGCCACGAUGGCUCUGUAGUCAUCAGGGAGGGAGCUCCUUUUAUCUUGUUACCUACUCCCCUCUUGUGCCCCUUUCUUCCCUUGAUCUAAGAAGGUUGCUCCGGAUCUCGCCAUCUGGCCUGCGUUCAAUCAGCAGAAGCUUCCUGGAGGAGCAGGAGGAGGCACUGUGCUCGCAUCACAUACCAGUGGCCAGAAGUUGGCUUCAGGGAAGCUCAGGAAAUAGGAUGCGAGAAGCCAUGAGACCUCCCCAAACUCUGCAGUAACAGAGUCAACAAGACAAUGGCUUAAAGAUGGAGAGACCAGUUGAUCGGUCACACAAGCUGUUCCACGAUAAUUCUUGUGUCAGAAGGGGAGGCUGACUACCAGGACCACUGGCCCCACUUCCAGCCCCUCCAUUCUGAGUACACUUCAGAGGGCUCUGGCAGGGUGAGGGGGUCUUGGUGGUGCCACAGAGAGUAAAGGUCUAGCACACCCAUUGUGGAGAUAUUUCAUGGGGACAACCCAGUGACUUCACUUGAAGUAAAGUGGGAUUUUCCAACCUUGAGAUUCUUAUUUUCUUUGCACGUGCCCAGCUUCCUUUCAAGUCUCUGGCCAAUGCAAUGUGAGCAGAAGUGAAGGGGCAACUUUCAGUGGCUUAGACAGUGGCCUAACUAGAAGACCAAGGCUCAAAGGAACACAUUUUGAGCUUCUCCACAGUUUGAGAACCUCUACAUUACCUACACCAAGCCUUCCCCAGCACUCAAUUUAUGGAAGACCAUUUCUCUUCUCAUGACACAUGUCCUCAUGUUGCUUUGGCCUGUUUUAAAGCUUUCUCAACUCCAUCUCAAUAAAGAAAUCUGCAGCUUUGUUGGAUGAGAGGAUCUAAAAAGUUCGUUCUUCCAAUCGGUUGUAAAUAUAGACACUAAUUUAUAAACUGACACAGGAACACACAGCAAAUUAGUAGAAAAUCCGAUUCCUGUUCCCUUUUCUCCUUGCAUUGUUUCCUGCCAAUGCUCACCAUUUCUUUAUCCUUUCCACUCUUCCUUGCUCCUCCUUCCCUUUAAUUUUUCUCUGUUGUGCCUAAAUAAGCUGUCCAUGCAUGGCACUCCAUGGGCUCUGAUAACAGACUCAACAAGACAAUGACUUAAAGAUGGAGUGACCAGCUGAUCAGUCACACAAGUUGUUCCAGUGUAAUUAUUUUCACAGGUGUCUCAGUUUGGAUGAUAAAUUAUAUGAACACUCUACUUACAGAACAAAGACCUUUAUUUAUGUCUCUCUUGCUUCAAAGUCCAAGGUGAGCAUGCCUGCCUGGCAGCUCUGCCUCAAUUCCUUUUAAAUCAUUCCUUUGUCAUACUUCAGCACACUGCUGUCAUCUGUAUGGUUGAGCUGGACUGCUGCCAUGUUGAGUCACCAGUGACUUUUUGAUUCUUUAAUUCCCAGUUUGACUGGCAUUCCUCUGUGUGUGUGUAUUUAGUUCUAUGCAGUUUUAUCACAUGUGUAGGCUUGUGUAACCACUGCCACAGCCAAGAUACAGAACAGCCAAGUUUGUUUUUGUUCACUGUCAUCUCUCCAAAACCUAGUGCAAUGCCUGGCAAAAAGACACUCAGUACAUACUUGUUGAUGGGGGAAUGAAUGAAUGAAUGGUGUGCUAAUUGGGGUUUUAAGAUGCAAAACCCAAGCAGUGUAAGUGAGGUACAUGUGGCGGUCUAGAGGUAGGACCAGCAGGAUAGCUGUGCCGUCUAUCUCUGGGCCAGGCAACUGCUGCAGUCCUACCAUGUCCCCAGCAGAUGGGCAGGGGAAAGGCAGGGCCCAGUCUUUACAGGGGCAGGUCCUGGAGUUGCACACCUCACUUCCCCUCAUAUCCUACAGGCCAGAACUUAGGUGCAGGUACACACCAAGCUGCAUAGGAGGCCGAGGUAGAUGGUAUUACUUGCCUGCAAUUCUUCCUUCCCUCUUUUCUCUUACUAAUGUUCACCAAAGUGGAGAGUACUUUUCCACAACUCAUGCAGGGCUUUGGCCAAUGGAAUGUGGGCAGAAGCGAGUUUGUUAGUUCUGAGCUGAGGCCUUAGGAGGCCUCUUGUGUCUCUGCUCGUCCUCUGGCCCUGUUGCCACCCCAGGUGGUCACUGGUCCAGAGGAUGAGAGACAAGUGAAGCAGCCCUGACUCGGCUCACAGCUUGAAGCAGAGCGGCCUCCACCAGCCUGCAAGAAAAAUAAAUGACUUUUUUGAUAAGCCACUGAGAGUUUGAGGUUGCCUACCGUGAGCUCAGCCUUAACUGAGUGAGUUCUACUAGUAACGAAGGGGAGAAUGAACAUUUGUGGACUUCGAGCAUUCUGCAGUAUGAGAGGGGCCCCUCUCUGGAUGGAGCAGGGAAGACCUGACCUGUAGGGACUCCUUAGGGGUCCAGAGCAAAGCCCAGGCGGCUUAGUUAGACGGCAUGCUCUCCUGGGACUCUCAUGGGCAGACAGACUGGAGAUCAGCUGAACUGGGGCCAGCUGGAAACACCUCUGUCUGGAGACAUCUUGGGGAUAAAGGGAAGUUUGGGGUGGGAAGAAUGAUAAUGGAAAGCUGCGUCCAAACAAAUAAAACUGUCGCAUUAACAAGUUGAAGAAGAGUUUUCCCAGUGAGUCGAGAACUGGUGCUAAUAAUAGAAGCCUCAAACAGCUGUGCAUUUUGCCAUAUUAAAUAGUUCAUUUGUGUCUGUCUGUUGCCAGCACAGCUGUAGAGAAUGAUGCUGCUCCAGUUUGAUCCAAUACAGUAUUUGGAAUGCAUGGAAAAGAUCACUGAUGCCUUUACCUGAUGCCUUACCUCUGAAGGAUAUUUCUCCACAUAAUCGGCCCUCGGUUUUGUGCUGAAUGCAGCUGUUGAAGGAAGCAGCUCUCUGUAUUACUUGCUGAUUAUCCUGCCAACAGGAAUUUGGGUGUGCGGAAAUGGCAUCAAAUUCUUUCCACUGGGAAAGUGCUAGCAACAAACAAGAGGUUAAAAAGCUUUUGAAAGCACAGCAAUUUGGGUGUGAAUAUCCAUUCUGAGGUGGAUGAAUUAGUUCCUGAUAAAGUAUUGGCUGCUUAUUUGAAACUGGUUGAGGAAAAGAAAACAUGGCUUUAAAAAGCUCUUCAAAUACAAAUAUAUCCUCAAUUUUAUCUGCUUUUUACUGAUAUUUAUCUGUCUGCCUUCUAUUAUGAAAAUUUUCAACACUGAAAAAUGUCAAAAGAAACCACAAAUGCUUUUCAUCUAGAUUCAAUGGUUGUUAACGUUUUACCAUAUUUGGUUUUUCUCCUCUCUCUGUCUCCCCACAAACACAUGAUACACACCAUUUUUGAAAAUAAGUUGUCAGUAUGGCAUCAUGAUCCGUAAGUGCUUCAAUAUGAAUCUCCUAAGAAUAAAGAAAAUCUCCUGUAUAACCGCAAUACCACUAUCAUACCUAGGAAACUUAACAAUGAUUCUACAAUCACAACUAAUAUCCAAGUCAUUUUAAAAUUUUUGCAAUUGUACCUUAAAUGUUUGUAUGCAGUUUCCCCCGAGAGCUAAUCAAGGCUUAUGGAUUCCAUCUGGAGGCUAAUCUGGAAAAUCUCCCCCACCUUAACUUCUGUUUGGUUUUGAUUUACGACAUUGACUUGAGGAAUCUGGGCCAGCUGUCUUAGAGAAGGUCACACAUCCCUGGCUUGCCCGAUUGUUUCCUGAUGGUGUCCUUUAACUUUUACUUUUAAGCCCUUAUAAUGGAAGUUAGGUUUUAGGUUUGAAUAAACUUUUUUCUUUUAUUUAUUUAUUUAUUUGGCUAUAAAGAAUACUUUACAGGUAUUCCAUGAGGAGGUCCUCACACUGGGUUUUUGCCAGCAGCGAUGCUCAGGGGGAUGACCUGUUGAGAAAGUAAUUAUUAUAUGUCCAUGAGAAGGUACCUUUGCCUGGAACAUCAACUGAGGCAAAGUUUACAUGCUAUUGCUUUGCAGGGUGGGGGUGCAAUGCUGUGAAAGGGGAAAAAUGAAUUGAGGGGGAAACUACAAGAUGGUCUGCUGCUGAAUUAGCCACUGCUUGAUAAACAGCACAGCUGGCCGCUUGGCUAUGUGAGACAUCUUUGGAGGUGCUGUGUAGCUCCGUUGCACCUCAGAGGAGUCCUACAAGGCAAAGCUCACGUGGUGGUAAAGCACUUGUACUUCAGGAUUGUGUUGCUAGCUGCCUCGACACAGCCACUGGGAAAGCCAGUUCACCCGGGGCUCCUGCUGGACCUGGGCACAGGAGUUGCUGCAGCUCCUGCCCUGGCAGGUGGAAUGACAUGGCCUUGCCAAAGACAGCGGUGCCUGUCAUUAUAGGAGGUAAGGUGACAAGGUGGAAGCUGGAACUUUGCGGCCAUCACUGGAGCUGCUUUACCUAGGAUCAGGGUAGUGGGUCCCCAGGGGCAGGCAGGGUCAAAUGGAUGUGCUGGCUGGGUAUAAAUUGGAUCCAACAUUUUUUUCCUUUUAAAUUACUGAAUGAUUUGUGGGGUGUACUUUGCCCCUGUAGGAAUAUUCUAUUGCCCUGCCACGUUUAUGUAAUGGUUUCAGUAUCCAUUGAUUAUUCUUGCCUGUACCAUUUAUUACAGCAGGAGAUGCAAGAUAUGAGGGUUAGUUAUGUUCGUUACCACUAGGGUGUCAUCGUACGCUUUUUCAGGAACACAACUAGGA